CUACGGGUCGCUGCAGUGGGGAAUAUUGCGCAAUGGGCGCAAGCCUGAUGCAGCGACGCCGCGUGAAGGAUGAAUGUCUUCGGAUUGUAAACUUCUAUCAGCAGGGAAGAAUACCAUGACGGUACCUGACUAAGAAGCCCCGGCUAACUACGUGCCAGCAGCCGCGGUAAUACGUAGGGGGCAAGCGUUAUCCGGAAUUACUGGGUGUAAAGGGUGCGUAGGCGGCAAUGCAAGUCUGAUGUGAAAACCUGGGGCUCAACCUCAGGAUUGCAUCGGAAACUGCGUAGCUAGAGUGCAGAGAGGAAAGUGGAAUUCCGAGUGUAGCGGCGAAAUGCGUAGAGAUUCGGAGGAACACCAGUAGCGAAGGCGACUUUCUGGACUGUAACUGACGCUGAGGCACGAAAGCGUGGGGAGCGAACAGGAUUAGAUACCCGAGUAGUC
rnacentral:rRNA from 1 species